rnacentral:rRNA from 1 species
AUUGAACGCUGGCGGCAAGCCUAACACAUGUAAGUCGAACGAGUGGCGGACGGGUGCGUAAUGUCUGGGAAACUGCCUGAUGGAGGGGGAGAACUACUGGAAACCGUAGCAAAUACCGCAUACCUUCGGAUGUGCCCAGAUGGGAUGAACUAGUAGUGGGGGUAAAGGCCCACCUAGUCGACGAUCCCUAGCUGGUCUGAGAGGCUGACCAGUCACACUGGAACUGGGACACGGUCCAGACUGCUACGGGAGGCAGCAGUGGGGAAUAUUGCACAAUGGCCGCAAGCCUGAUGCAGCCAUGCCGCGUGUAUAAAGAGGGCCUGCGGGUUGUAAAGUACUUUCAGCGGGGAGGCGUUACCCGCAGGUGAAGCACCGGCUAACUCCGUGCCAGCAGCCGCGGUAAUAC